CAAGAUUAGAUUUCCCAUAGCGUUAAGCUAGUAAGACCCCUGGAAGACUACCAGGUUGAUAGGUUGGAGGUGUAAGUGCAGUAAUGCAUUCAGCUGACCAAUACUAAUAGGUCGAGGGCUUGAUCAA
rnacentral:rRNA from 1 species